GUUCCUGCACAGCAGGGCUACAUAUGAAGGCUGGGCAGCCCCGGCCCCACCACAGCAGCCUCUCACAGGACCGGCAAGCUGGAGGGUGCAGAUGAUUCAGACACACCAGCUCCGUGAACACAUUCCCAGAUGUGCACAGGCUGCAGAUGGAACACAUUUCUGGCCUGCCUAGGAGUCACACAGCCAGGAGCCUGCUGGAGGAGAGCAGCGGGGACCCACGGGAGAGGCCAGGGCCCCCCAGUAACUGCUGAGUGGGGGUUAGGGGCUGCAGGGACAGGAAGAGGAGCUCCCCUGUUCUCCCCUGGCCUGGUAAUAGGGCCAGGACCCAGGCUCCCGCUCAAUUUUCUCUCUCCCCAGACCUCUGGCCAACCCAGAUUCUGACCAGUGCCUGGAAAUUCAAGAGGGAUUCACUUCAACCUCCAAAGUCCAGGGUGUGGUGAGAAAUGGGAGAGUCCUCCUUUCUGGAAAAAGAGAUUCAAAAGCACUUAGUUGUCCCAGAAGAAGAACAGACCAAGCCCACGCUGCAGACCAUCCAGCUCUAAGGCCGCUAACUCCGCUACCCGUCUCUCAGCCCUGAGAACGGAGUGCAGGGUCUCCAGGGUCUCCAGGGUCUCCAGCUCUUGUGGGCUCCGAGCCGAGGGCUGAGCGCUCCCCAGGGCCUGCACGGCCCUCAGUCUGGGACUGCUCUGGGACUGUCUGGAGCCAAAGUGGCUUGAGGCACCUUGUGGAAAAACCAUUUCCCAUCUGGCAGCCCACGGAAGUUUCCUCAGCAUAAGCUCUGCUGGUGAGGCUCCCCAAUCCGCAGGUCUCAGAGCGCUCAGACAGAGAAGGCUGGCUGACCGCAGGAAAAAGGGCAAGUACCCAGAGGAACACUCUCCUGAGACCACCAAAUAAAGAAGUCAAUCUGUCCUCCUAGAGGAUGACAGACCACAUGAAGGAGAACAGAGACCCCCAGCCAACAGCCAGACAUGUGAACGAGGACAUCUUGAACUUUCUACCUCAGCAUUUGCAUAAGUGAGCCAGGAACAUAUCUGUCCCUGGAGCCCGUUGGCUUGGAGGCUCCUGGAGGUCAGGACCGUUCUUCAACCAUCCUCAUGUCCCCAUCAUAAGCCCAGUGCCUGUCCCAGAGUCACAUCAGGUGGAAUUCCACCAAGAUUUCAUCGGGAGAUGGAAUCAAUUUCUCCACCCCUUAAAUCUUCACUUCUCUUGGCUAACGGGACCUUGGAUGACAGCCUUGCAGAAGCAGGCACCAGCCACAGCCGCCUUCAGCUGGGAGAGCUGAAGCCCUGUACGCUUAAGUGAGGUUACCCUAGGACAGCCCCACGUGAGUCAGCCCUGCUCAGGAGAAC